UGUGAGCGGCAUAUUACUAUCCAAACUGCAAGUCCUAGUAGAUCGCGACCAGCACUGCUCUACCGACGAAGGUUGAAAAGCCACCCGAAACCCACAGAAUACCUAGGAUUCCUAAAUUCGGGAGAACCCGGAUACGUUCAGGCCAUGAAGACGUUCAGGCCGACAUUGUUCAAGACCUGAAGGACCCGUCUUUCUGACUCAGCUUAUCCCCGGCUCCCAGCACCAAGCAUAGCCCUGUGCCCAGCGCACCCCAGACAUUGGAUGAGUAACCCUUGACUGCAGUGGAGGCUACCCCGGGGCACGGCACACAGCCCAGCACCCUUGUUCCAAUAAUACAAGGUGUAGCUCCAGACAGCAAGGCUGGAAGAAGGCAUGUUUGCAUCAUCCCUCCAAUGGGGUCUUGGUCUCCGGGAAUGGCUUGCCCAGGCCUCCGGCCACUGGCUGCCAUUGGCUCCCUAGAAGCGAAGAGAACGCAAGAGAUUCCGUCAAAACAAGGCUCGAAGGUGAGCUAGUGUGGCUAACCCAACUCCUGCCCCACUGUCCACAGGCUUCCACAAAUAGAAAGCGUCAGGAAGAAAAUCAGGAAUUUAACAGACCUUAGAAGAAACGAGUGGUACAAAUAUAUCAAACUCUCUGCCAGAAAGUGGGUAUGAUAUAUAUGUAUCCAAACACAUAUUGUAUGAUGUAGUUACAUAUUAUAAU
rnacentral:lncRNA from 1 species